CGAAUUAAUGGGUUACCGUCACUGUCAGGGAGCUGUCACGAUUGAUCGGACCCGUUGGGGUGGUUGAACCGCCGGCCGUGGUGGGCCUGGGGUCCGUAGAUGACAAGUGCAUUGAUUGCUGAGUGAACCGGUGGUCAGAAAGAGCCAUACACUUUGAUGGUUCAGUGAUCCGGAGAUCAUCUUGAGCCGUGUUCAUUUAAUGACUGAGUGCAUCGGAGGCCUGAGGGGGUCUCAUGCAUUAAUGAUAGGGUGUGCCGAAUGCCUGCGGAGAUCUUGUGCCUUAAUGACUUGGGGAUGGUGGCAGAUUGAAGUGGAGUCAUAUAUUUAGUUGUCAGAUCCUUUGGAGGGUUAGGCGGAGAUUGGAUAUUUGGCCAAGGCAUGGGCUCGGCGGGGUUGCCUUUCUGGUCGGCGCUCUCUGGUCUCGGCCUUCUGGUCUCGGCUCUCUGGUCUCGGCUCUCUGGUCUCGGCCUUCUGUGCUCGGUCUUCUGUGCUCGGC
rnacentral:lncRNA from 1 species